UUCACUCCUUCUCUCUAACUAGUCGUCUGCUUAUAAAUAUAGACAUAUAUAUAUGCAUGUAUACGUACUCUUCAAUCGUAAAUAAAUAAUUUUAAAAUUCUGUUAAGCAUUUAUGCUAGAAAUGUACAAGAUUGGUUUGUUGUGUCUGAAUCUGUACGGGUCGACAGAUCGGAACAUAACUAACCAGUCAGUAUUGUAUAUUAAUUUAAUAUAUCUUCCACCUAUAUGCUUCGUUCUUCAACAAUCAUCGCAUAUUUUUUCCCGGAAUUAUGUUUCGUUUUCAAUAUAUUGGUCCCUAAAUUGAUUAUUUUUUGUAAUUUCUUAUGGUCUAAAACAGAAUAUUCCGUAUGUUUUUUCUAUGACGAAAAACAUUUACAGGUUGACACGUCAGCCCUUGGAUUCUGGAACGUAUUCUCUAUACUUCACACCUAUAUCUACUUGCUUCAUCUCAGACUGCUUUUCUCCUUGUUUCUUCUUCAUAUUUCAUCUUCUCAGAGUAUAUAGUUAUCGAGGAGAUUAACCAGAUCUUUUUCUACUUAUUUAGUUUGCGAUUAUAUUUCUGAUUGUUCAAUCAACUUUACAUUUUUUUUUUUUUUUGUAAACAAACUUUACAUUUGUUCCAUUAAUUCGUACAAUCUAUUUCUUGUGUGUGUGUGAAUCUGAUACAGGCUCUCGGAGGAUCCGUGGGGAAAGUUCAUCAGUCGUUUUUUGUAGGUGCAGCACCAUCAAGAUUCACAUGGAAAUUGAAAAACCCCUAAUCUUAUUAAUUAGGGUUUUGAUAUGUAUAUAUGAGAAUCUUGAUGAUGCUGCAUCAACAACAGACGGCUACCAAAUACCUAAAGCUACAGAAAGAAACCACUUAUAUUAUUACAUGAAGUCUGGAUCUUGGGAUAUGAUACUCUGUAGUCCAUAUUCAAAUCAUCGGGGUCCUUAUCUGUGAUGCAAUGAUCAAGAACAACAAGAUAUUGAACACAAAUCGAAUACUACUUGGGCCAGUUUAAAUGGUUUUACUAUCUCUUAUAAGUAUAUAAAGCUCGUCUCUAGACAUUUUAUAUAUUGUCUUCCACAACUCUCUUGUACUAACACUUAUUUACUAUUGUUUCAGCUUCUAUUUCUGAGUUAUCACUUGUACUCUAUUCACUAUCAUUGUUCUAAAUUUGUAAUAUUAUAAAUAAGGUUUUUAUGCCAAAUCAAAUCAAACA